rnacentral:rRNA from 1 species
UACGGAGGGUGCAAGCGUUAAUCGGAUUUAUUGGGCGUAAAGGGCGCGUAGGCGGGAUAGCAAGUCAGAUGUGAAAUCCUGGAGCUUAACUCCAGAACAGCAUCUGAAACUACAAUUCUAGAGGAUAGACGGGGAAAACGGAAUUCCACAAGUAGCGGUGAAAUGCGUAGAUAUGUGGAAGAACACCAGUGGCGAAGGCGGUUUUCUAGUUUAUUCCUGACGCUAAAGCGCGAAAGCUAGGGGAGCAAACAGG